rnacentral:rRNA from 1 species
GAGGGCAAGUCUGGUGCCAGCAGCCGCGGUAAUACCAGCUCCAAUAGCGUAUGUUAAAGUUGUUGCAGCUAAAAAGCUCGUAGUUGGACUUGUGUGCGCCGGAUGCGGCGAUCUGCGGCCAAAAGGUCGUUGCGAUCAGCCCAUCCUGGCGCCGUAAAAUUUGCAACUGGGUCGCCGCUGGCCUUAAUUGAUCGGUGGCGUCUGCUCGGUUGCUCGUUUACUGUGAGAAAAUUGGAGUGUUCAAGGCAGGCGUGGAUUGCAACUGAACAUGUUAGCAUGGAAUAAUAAGAUAGGGCUCCGGCUAUUUUGUUGGUUUCUAGAGCGUGGGAGUAAUGAUUGAUAGGGACAGUUGGGG